rnacentral:tRNA from 1 species
UGCUUGCUAGCUCAACUGGUUAGAGCACUCGCCUCUUAAGCGAUAGGUUAUGAGUUCAAGUCUCAUGCAGGCUA